GACGAACGCUGGCGGCGUGCUUAACACAUGCAAGUCGAACGGAAAGGCCCAACUUUGCUUGGGUGCUCGAGUGGCGAACGGGUGAGUAACACGUGGGUAACCUGCCCUGCACUUUGGGAUAACUUUAGGAAACUGGGGCUAAUACCGGAUAGGAGCUCCUGCUGCAUGGUGGGGGUUGGAAAGUUUCGGCGGUUGGGGAAGGACUCGCGGCUUCUGAGCUUGUGGGUGGGGUUGUGGUUUACCAGGGUUGUGGCGGGUACCCGGCCUGAGGGGGUAACCGGCCACUGGGGGACUGAGAUAGGCCCGAGUCCCAUACGGGGGAGAGCAGUGGGGAAUAGUGCACAAGGGGCGGACGUCUGACGGAGCAGCGCCGCGUGCGGUAUGAGGGCUCUGGGGGUGAAAACCGCUUUCGCCGGAGACGAAGCGUUUGUGACGGUAACUGGAGAAGAAGCACCGGCUAACUACGUG
rnacentral:rRNA from 1 species